rnacentral:rRNA from 1 species
UACGUAGGGGGCAAGCGUUGUCCGGAAUCAUUGGGCGUAAAGAGCGCGUAGGCGGUCCGGUAAGUCGGUUGUGAAAACUGGGGGCUCAACCCUCAGAGGCCGACCGAUACUGCCGGGCUAGAGUCCGGAAGAGGCGAGUGGAAUUCCUGGUGUAGCGGUGAAAUGCGCAGAUAUCAGGAGGAACACCAAUGGCGAAGGCAGCUCGCUGGGACGGUACUGACGCUGAGGAGCGAAAGCGUGGGGAGCGAACAGG